rnacentral:sRNA from 1 species
AUUCUCCGAGAUAACAGUUGGUUUGUUGUUUCAGGUUCUGCGAGAUAUUCGCGAGCACCAGGGAGGAUAGCGUUGCUUUAGCAACGACCCGUAGGGCAAGGCGCAGCCGAGUAAUCCUCCCGGAUGCACCA